rnacentral:rRNA from 1 species
UACGGGGGGAGCAAGGCGUUGUUCGGAUUUACUGGGCGUAAAAGGCGCAGUAGGCGGUCGUGACAAGUCACUUGUGAAAUCUCCGGGCUUAACCCGGAGCGGCCAAGUCGAUACUCGUGUGCUAGAGUGCGGAAGGGCUACUGGAAUUCGUCGGUGUAGGCGGUGAAAUGCGUAGAUAUCGAGAGGAACACCUGCGGCGA